rnacentral:rRNA from 1 species
UACCAGCACCCCGAGUGGUCGGGACGUUUAUUGGGCCUAAAGCAUCCGUAGCCGGUUCUACAAGUCUUCCGUUAAAUCCAACUGCUUAACAGGUGGGCUGCGGAAGAUACUAUAGAGCUAGGGGGCGGGAGAGGCAAGCGGUACUCGAUGGGUAGGGGUAAAAUCCGUUGAUCCAUUGAAGACCACCAGUGGCGAAGGCGGCUUGCCAGAACGCGCUCGACGGUGAGGGAUGAAAGCUGGGGGAGCAAACCGG